rnacentral:rRNA from 1 species
CGCGUGACUUAAGCAUAUCAAUAAGCGGAGGAAAAGAAACCAACAGGGAUUGCCCCAGUAACGGCGAGUGAAGCGGCAACAGCUCAAAUUUGAAAUCUGGUCCCCAGGGCCCGAGUUGUAAUUUGCAGAGGAUGCUUUUGGCGAGGCGCCUUCCGAGUUCCCUGGAACGGGACGCCAUAGAGGGUGAGAGCCCCGUCUGGUUGGAUGCCGAGCCUCUGUAAAGCUCCUUCGACGAGUCGAGUAGUUUGGGAAUGCUGCUCUAAAUGGGAGGUAUAUGUCUUCUAAAGCUAAAUACCGGCCAGAGACCGAUAGCGCACAAGUAGAGUGAUCGAAAGAUGAAAAGCACUUUGAAAAGAGGGUUAAAUAGUACGUGAAAUUGUUGAAAGGGAAGCGCUUAUGACCAGACUUGGGCCCGGUGAAUCAUCCAGCGUUCUCGCUGGUGCACUUUGCCGGGCUCAGGCCAGCAUCAGUUUGCCCCGGGGGAUAAAGGCUUUGGGAAUGUGGCUCCCUCGGGAGUGUUAUAGCCCAUUGCACAAUACCCUGGGGCGGACUGAGGUUCGCGCAUCUGCAAGGAUGCUGGCGUAAUGGUCAUCAGCGACCCGUCUUGAAACACGGACCAAGGAGUCGUCUUCGUAUGCGAGUGUUCGGGUGUCAAACCCCUACGCGUAAUGAAAGUGAACGCAGGUGAGAGCUUCGGCGCAUCAUCGACCGAUCCUGAUGUUCUCGGAUGGAUUUGAGUAAGAGCAUACGGGGCCGGACCCGAAAGAAGGUGAACUAUGCCUGUAUAGGGUGAAGCCAGAGGAAACUCUGGUGGAGGCUCGCAGCGGUUCUGACGUGCAAAUCGAUCGUCAAAUAUGGGCAUGGGGGCGAAAGACUAAUCGAC